UACACCACUUGCAAACUCUAUGCCACAACGAUUGCACUGAGCAUUUGCUGUUCAUUGUUUGCCAUUCAUAAUGUAUGAUUGGUCAUCUUGGUCACAUGUUAGAGGUUCUGCUCUCAGAGUAAAUGGUUGCCAAUCAAGAUUGCUUCAGAGUAAACCUGGAUAGAACAUCAAGGCUAACUUGUUGCGGGGCAGGCUGCUACUGUAUACCCUACUGAGCAACAAGAGCAAAGCCAGCCUCUGAAAACUUGCUGCUGCUUUGAAAAAUAUUCAUCUUCUCCUUCUGGCCUAUGAGUCCCACUAAGUGCAUUUGGUCUGUUAUAUUUUGACCAAGGGUGGACUUCUAGAGAGAGUGAAUUUGAAAUCCUCGCAUUCUUGAAAUGAGGACCAGCACAGUCUGAAUCCUAAGUAAUACAAAGUAUGACGAAAGAAUCUCUUCACACUGUUAUAACAGUUUGGUUUUGUGUAAUUCCUUUUAUACACCAGGCAUUCAACAUACAGGUAAAAGAUAUUGUAGUGGUUUACUGACACGGUAAGCAAACACAGAGCCAUUCCAGGAGGAGAUAUGCCCCUCCCCUGAAGCAAGGGAAUGAAAUGGGUUGUAGGGGUGAGGAAAAAAAGAAAGUUGGCCAUCGUGUACAGGGCCCCAUUUCCAGAGGUACUGAGUACCUGCAUUUCCCAUUGACUUCAGUCAGAAUGCAACAGUUGGGUUCUGAAGUUAUUUCCAGCUCUU